UCCGGUUUAGCACCGGCAGUCUUUCCAGAGUCCCCGGCUUUACCCGCUGGCAACUGAAAACGGGGGUUGCGCUCGUUGCGGGACUUAACCCAACAUCUCACGACACGAGCUGACGACAGCCAUGCAGCACCUGUGCACGGGCUCCGAAGAGGGGCCUCCGUUUCUGGAGGCUUUCCCGUGUAUGUCAAGCCUAGGUAAGGUUCUUCGCGUUGCGUCGAAUUAAACCACAUGCUCCACCGCUUGUGCGGGCCCCCGUCAAUUCCUUUGAGUUUCAGCCUUGCGGCCGUACUCCCCAGGCGGGGCACUUAAUGCGUUAGCGGCGGCACUCAGGGGGUCGCUCCCCCAAGCACCUAGUGCCCAUCGUUUACGGCGUGGACUAC
rnacentral:misc_RNA from 1 species